UGGGGGAAUUUUGGACAAUGGGCGAAAGCCUGAUCCAGCAAUGCCGCGUGUGUGAAGAAGGCCUUCGGGUUGUAAAGCACUUUUGUCCGGAAAGAAAUCCUUGGCUCUAAUACAGUCGGGGGAUGACGGUACCGGAAGAAUAAGCACCGGCUAACUACGUGCCAGCAGCCGCGGUAAUACGUAGGGUGCAAGCGUUAAUCGGAAUUACUGGGCGUAAAGCGUGCGCAGGCGGUUUGCUAAGACCGAUGUGAAAUCCCCGGGCUCAACCUGGGAACUGCAUUGGUGACUGGCAGGCUAGAGUAUGGCAGAGGGGGGUAGAAUUCCACGUGUAGCAGUGAAAUGCGUAGAGAUGUGGAGGAAUACCGAUGGCGAAGGCAGCCCCCCUGGGCCAAUACUGACGCUCAUGCACGAAAGCGUGGGGAGCAAACAGGAUUAGAUACCCUGGUAGUCCACGCCCUAAACGAUGUCAACUAGUUGUUGGGGAUUCAUUUCCUUAGUAACGUAGCUAACGCGUGAAGUUGACCGCCUGGGGAGUACGGUCGCAAGAUUAAAACUCAAAUGAAUUGACGGGGUCAUAGCUGUUUCCU
rnacentral:rRNA from 1 species